rnacentral:rRNA from 1 species
CACGUAGGGCGCGAGCGUUGUCCGGAAUUAUUGGGCGUAAAGAGCUCGUAGGCGGCCUGUUGCGUCCGCUGUGAAAGCCCGGGGCUUAACCCCGGGUCUGCAGUGGAUACGGGCAGGCUAGAGGUAGGUAGGGGAGAAUGGAAUUCCCGGUGUAGCGGUGAAAUGCGCAGAUAUCGGGAGGAACACCGGUGGCGAAGGCGGCUCUCUGGGACGGUACUGACGCUGAGGCGCGAAAGCGUGGGGAGCAAACAGG